UUUCUAUUAUAGCGACGAGAGUCUUGUAUGCAGAAGCUUCAAGUUGAACUCUCAGUACAUUUUCUCAGACAACCAGCAAUGGAGUCUGUAAUACGUUUACUUCUCCUCUCUUUGCUCUUACAUUCCAUUCUACACGUCAAAUGUGAUGCUUCUUUUAGGCUAAAUGGGUUCUCUUCUUUGCUGAAUUCAAGUUUUUGAGAGGCACAAGUAGGGAAUAGAAUAAGAAAGAGUGAAAGUAAAGAUCUGGUUUAUUCUUUUUUUUUUUUUUUUCCCUCUCCUGAUAUUUAUUAUAAAAAUUUGAUUACUCUCCUGUUGGUCUGUGUGUGUUGAGAUCAAUAAAGAAAAGCUUGAGGACAAUUUUGCUCAAGGAUCUAAUCAUUUUCUUCUUAUUCUAUGAUUUGGUAUUAUUAUAUU